UUGAGGCAAUAACAGGUCUGUGAUGCCCUUAGAUGUUCUGGGCCGCACGCGCGCUACACUGAUACGUUCAACAAGUUCCUUGGCCGAAAGGUCUGGGUAAUCUUUGAAACCGUAUCGUGAUGGGGAUAGAACAUUGCAAUUAUUGUUCUUCAACGAGGAAUGCCUAGUAAGCGUGAGUCAUCAUCUCGCGUUGAUUACGUCCCUGCCCUUUGUACACACCGCCCGUCGCUCCUACCGAUUGAAUGUGCUGGUGAAGACUUCGGACCGGCUCCUUAGCUAGGCUUCCUAACUUCGGAGCUGGGAAGUUGUUUAAACCCUCCCAUUUAGAGGAAGGAGAAGUCGUAACAAGGUUUCCGUAGGUGAACCUGCGGAAGGAUCAUUG
rnacentral:rRNA from 1 species